AUUGAACGCUAGCGGGAGGCCUUACACAUGCAAGUCGAACGGAGUGGCGAACGGGUGAGUAAUGUAUCGGAACGUGCCCAGUAGCGGGGGAUAACUACGCGAAAGCGUAGCUAAUACCGCAUACUAUUGGAGCGGCCGAUAGCGGCUUAGCUAGUUGGUGGGGUAACGGCGCACCAAGGCGACGAUCCGUAGCUGGUUUGAGAGGACGACCAGCCACACUGGUACUGAGACCCGGCCCAGACUCCUACGUGAGGACGCAGUUGGGAAUUUUGGACAAUGGGGGAAACCCUGAUCCAGCCAUCCCCCGUGUGCUCUGAAGGCCUUCGGGUUGUAAAGCACUUUUGGCAGGAAAGCGGUACCUGCAGAAUAAGCACCGGCUAACUACGUGCCAGCAGCCGCGGUAAUUC
rnacentral:rRNA from 1 species